AGGGCUGUAGCUCAGUGGUAGAGCACCCGCCUUGCACUCGUGAGGCUCUGGGUUGGAUCCUCAGCACCACAU
rnacentral:tRNA from 1 species